CGGGGGGCCGCCUAAAGAAGAGGCUGUGCUCUGGGGCUCCGGCUCCUCAGAGAGCCUCGGCUAGAUUGUUCCUUAAGGACAGGACAGUGCUUGUUUAAGGCUGUAACCCUGCUGUCUGAGCAAAACCAGGUCUUCGAGAUCAACACACUUUUCAUAAUCGCAAGAUGUGUUCUCAGAAGCAACAGAGGCACAUGAUUGUCGCUGACAAUACUGUCAUUAUGUUAAAUGGGCUGUGCAGUUUGGAUUUUUUCAAAGGUAGUUUGGGUAUGGAUCAUGUUUUUUUAUGAAUUAACUCUAGGUUAUGCCUUCCAUAAUCCAUGUAGUGUGUCAUGCAGUUAUUUUUAAAUCUUGUAGCUUUGUACAUGAUAAAGGUGUUUUAUCGUCUUAAUGUUUUGAACACUUCCCAAAAAUUCCAAAUUAUAAAACUGCAACUUAUAAUUUAUUUUAGGAAGAUGGUUAUGGUUUUAUAAGAUGCUUAAUUGUUCCACUAAUCCCAUUUGUGUUUUAGAAUAUGUAAAACUGAAGAGUUGGUCACUUUAGGAAGUGAAACGUGUACUAGCUUUAGAGAUCAUUUAACUUGGCAUGUCUUUUGCAACACACUAACUUUGAAUAGUGUUGGCACCAGCUAUGUUGUGGACUCAUUUUGAAAGGAGUCAUUCCAGUGAGUGAACGCUACUGAAUAUUUUAAAUGAAGGCUUUUGGUGUCCCAUACAACAAAACCGUCAGAAGCUUCAAACUAGAAAUUAAGAAGCUGAAGUGUUUUAGAAGGAGACUACUUGCUGGAGAAAUGUAUAAUAGCCAAGAAUUUAGGAAUCAUACAAUUGACAUUGCUUUGUAUCUGCCAGAUAAAAAGAAAUGCUCAUAGUGGUUCUUUUGAGCAGUACAUUAACUUGUUAAAGAUUUUCCCACAGAUACAAACUAAUCCAUAAUUCAUGGACGUAUAGAUGAAGCUACAAACAUGGUUGGACUUAUUACUGUGCUUGUUUUUUAUUUAUGUGAAAACUUGGGAAUAAACUUAUGUCCUAAAAUA